rnacentral:rRNA from 1 species
AGAGUUUGAUCCUGGCUCAGGAUGAACGCUAGCGGCAGGCUUAAUACAUGCAAGUCGAGGGGCAGCAGGACGGUAGCAAUACCGUUGCUGGCGACCGGCAAACAGGUGCGGAACACGUACGCAACUUACCCAUAACUGGGGGAUAGCCCGGGGAAACCCGGAUUAAUACCCCGUAACACCAUGAAGUGGCAUCACUUUAGGGUUAUAGCUCCGGUGGUUAUGGAUGGGCGUGCGGCUGAUUAGGUAGUUGGCGGGGUAACGGCCCACCAAGCCAGCGAUCAGUAACUGGUGUGAGAGCACGACCAGUCACACGGGCACUGAGACACGGGCCCGACUCCUACGGGAGGCAGCAGUAAGGAAUAUUGGUCAAUGGAGGCAACUCUGAACCAGCCAUGCCGCGUGAAGGAUGAAGGUCCUCUGGAUUGUAAACUUCUUUUAUAGGGGAAGAAACCCAGGUAUUCUUACCUGGUUGACGGUACCCUGGGAAUAAGCACCGGCUAACUCCGUGCCAGCAGCCGCGGUAAUACGGAGGGUGCAAGCGUUAUCCGGAUUCACUGGGUUUAAAGGGUGCGUAGGAGGGCAGGUAAGUCAGUGGUGAAAUCCUGGGGCUUAACCCCAGAACUGCCAUUGAUACUAUCUGUCUUGAAUACAG